rnacentral:tRNA from 1 species
CAUCAAGAAGCUAAAUAUCAGCAUUAACCUUUUAAGUUAAAGAUUGGGAUUUCAAGAUCCCCUUGAUGG